CUCAGAAAUACACAGGGGCGACAAGCAGACUUUCUACACGCAGCAUGGCUCGCGUAACAGGAUUUUUAAUAAUAAACCAGCGCACAUUAAUUUUCGGUUCAUGCUACAAAGCUUAUAUUUUUUCUUAGCAUAAUAUAAACACACUUUUAAGUAUUUAUAAUCUUUAGUUAUUAUUAAGUAAAAUUAACUGACCACUCUCCAAGUUUGAAAUAUCUAGCAAUGAUUGAAAUAACGGGUUUUGUAAAAGUGUUGUAAAAAAAAUGAAAGAAUCUGUUGCAUCAUAUGACAUGUAUAUAAGCAUCUGUGAGAAAGCCGAAGAUCUUUUAGCGUCUGAAAACUGCUGAAUAUUACAGCGGACAAUAUUCAUUCGUAAAAUAAAAAUUAUUUUUGAUAUCUUCUUAUUCUCAUUUUAAUCAAAUAAAAAUAUAAGAAAAUGAAACAAAAAAGUUUUUUCCCCAAUAUUUGCUCGACUAGUUAAAACUUUAGUAAGUGUAAGGUAUGCCGCGUAAAGGUGGAUUACUAGCUUAUAUCUCAAGUUUUUAUAAUGACAGGUGGAAAUGGGAAUGUAUUAAAAGUGUCUCAUUGUUCCUGCUUGGCGUCUACCUAGCCAGAGAUAUGAAGGGUAUCGUCAUAGCUCCAACCCUACCCGGAGUAUCCUACAGAUAGUUCCAACCCUACCCGGAGUAUCCUACAGAUAGCUCCAACCCUACCCGGAGUAUCCUACAGAUAGAUCAAACCUUAUCUGGAGUAUCCUACAGAUAGCUCAAACCCUACCUGGAGUAUCCUACAGAUAGCUCAAACCCUACUUGGAGAAUCCUACAGAUAGCUCCAACCCUAUCCGGAGUAUCCUACAGAUAGCUAAAACCCUACCUGGAGUAUCCUACAGAUAGCUCAACCACUACUUGGAGUAUCCUACAGAUAGUUCCAACCCUACGUGGUGUAUCCUACAGAUAUUUCCAACCCUACCUGGAGUAUCCUACAGAUAGUUCCAACCCUACGUGGUGUAUCCUACAGAUAGUUCCAACCCUACGUGGUGUAUCCUACAGAUAUUUCCAACCCUACCUGGAGUAUCCUACAGAUAACUCCAACCCUACCUGGAGUAUCCUACAGAUAGCUCCAACCCUACCUGGAGUAUCCUACAGAUAACUCCAACCCUACCUGGAGUAUCCUAAAGAUACCUACAACCCUACAUGGAGUAUCCUACAGAUAACUCAAACACUACCCAGAGUAUAUUAAAUAUAGCUCUAAGUAUGUUACAUUCAAAAAUGUGAAUUUAAAAAAAUGUUCAAUAAAUCGAAAAGCAUAUUC